rnacentral:rRNA from 1 species
UCAGGCCUAACACAUGCAAGUCGAACUAGCUCUAGCGCAAGUUAGAGUGGGUGGCGGACGGGUGAGGAACACGUAAGAACCUACCCCUCGGAGGAGGAUAACUGCUGGAAACGGCAGCUAAUACUCCAUAUGCUGAGGAGCGAAAGGUCGAAAGACCGCCAAGGGAUGGGCUUGCGUCUGAUUAGCUAGUUGGUGAGGUAAAUGCUUACCAAGGCGACGAUCAGUAGCUGGUCUGAGAGGAUGAUCAGCCACACUGGGACUGAGACACGGCCCAGACUCCUACGGGAGGCAGCAGUGAGGAAUUUUUAAAGAGGGGCGAAAGCCUGACGGAGCAA